rnacentral:rRNA from 1 species
UGCGUAGGUGGCCGAUUAAGUCAGUGGUGAAAGCCUACAGCUCAACUGUAGAGGUGCCAUUGAUACUGGUCGGCUUGAGUAUGGACGAGGUAGGCGGAAUUUGUGGUGUAGCGGUGAAAUGCAUAGAUACCACAAAGAACACCAAUAGCGAAGGCAGCUUACUGGACCAUAACUGACGCUGAGGCACGAAAGCGUGGGGAGCGAACAGGAUUAGAUACCCUGGUAGUCC